AGAUUUUAUACAGUUUAAGUUUUUCCAGUGACCUGCCGAAAACAAAAAUUCAAAUUUUCCUCGCAUUCUUUUUUUAAUAACCAAGACAGUGACGUACGCACAGGGAGUCGAUACAAUGUAGAGCACUACUCGUUGCUGGGCUACAAUGAUCAGCGAGUCGGAAAAGUGCUGGGCUAUUGGACAGCGAUUCAGAAAACAAAUCAGUUUUGAGUUUAUUAUUCAGAUACACCAACGAGUCAGACUUGCAUGUCAUUUUGGUGGCAUCUGAAACAGAUUACAAAUGUAAUUUUAGAGCUAGACCAUCUUUAAAUGUCGUAGGACAGGUACGAAGCCGAAGCCACCUGUCGAUGAUGCUGCAGCCGCGGCUGCCUCAGAUGUGGAGGACGACAUGUCGAUGGACUCGUACAGAAUAUUUUGGAGAACUGCCAGUCAGCUACAAUCGCGAGCCUGACCUACUCCUGCCUGUUCAAGCUCAGAGUCAGACCAUCACAUGGACCAGUGAUUUCCAGCACGGAGUCAUCCCGAGAUGAGUUUUCUCUCAGUUCAGCUGCAGUCCAGUUCUGUUUGACAAGAGGUGGUUAACCC